rnacentral:tRNA from 1 species
GCGGGUAUAGUUAAGUGGCAUAAUGGAUGCUUCCCAAGCAUCAGUCGGGAGUUCGAUUCUCCCUACCCGCA